GUCCGCGCCCUAAACGAUGGAUACUUGGUCUGGGGGUAUCGACCCCUCCUGGGCCGAAGCUAACGCAUUAAGUAUCCCGCCUGGGGAGUACGGCCGCAAGGUUGAAACUCAAAGGAAUUGACGGGGCCCGCACAAGCAGCGGAGCGUGUGGUUUAAUUCGACGCAACGCGAAGAACCUUACCAGGGCUUGACAUGCUAGAAGUAGGAGGCUGAAAGGUUAACGACCCGUAAAAUCGGGAGCUAGCACAGAUGCUGCACGGCUGUCGU
rnacentral:rRNA from 1 species